rnacentral:lncRNA from 1 species
GCGAUACGUGCUUCAUCGAAAUCAUCUUUAGGUCAUUAUUGUUGACCUGUUCAACCCUUGAAAUAUCCCCCAAAUCCCUACGAUUUUCUUGAUUUUAGAAAAGAUUUAGCUGAAAUUCAGUCCAUUCCAGUCAGCUUUUGUGUUUGGUAGCUCCUCAGAGAUCGAACUCGCAUGGGUCGUUGGUUUUCUGCCGAAACUUGGGUCUCAAUUUUUCUGUAGGCGUUUGAU